rnacentral:rRNA from 1 species
CAAGUCGAACGAAGCACUGUAAACGGAGAUUCGUCGAAGUUUACUUUGACUUAGUGGCGGACGGGUGAGUAAUGUAUGAGCAACCUGCCUUUCAGUGGGGGACAACAGUUGGAAACGACUGCUAAUACCGCAUGAUGUCAAUUGGGGGCAUCCCCGAAUGACCAAAGGAUUUAUUCGCUGAAAGAUGGGCUCAUAUCUGAUUAGCUAGUUGGUGAGGUAACGGCUCACCAAGGCUGCGAUCAGUAGCCGGACUGAGAGGUUGAACGGCCACAUUGGGACUGAGAUACGGCCCAGACUCCUACGGGAGGCAGCAGUGGGGAAUAUUGGGCAAUGGGCGAAAGCCUGACCCAGCAACGCCGCGUGAAGGAAGAAGGUCUUCGGAUUGUAAACUUCUUUUAUGAGGGACGAAGGACGUGACGGUACCUCAUGAAUAAGCCACGGCUAACUACGUGCCAGCAGCCGCGGUAAUACGUAGGUGGCAAGCGUUAUCCGGAUUUACUGGGUGUAAAGGGCGCGUAGGCGGGGAUGCAAGUCAGAUGUGAAAUCUAUGGGCUUAACCCAUAAACUGCAUUUGAAACUGUAUCUCUUGAGUGCUGGAGAGGUAGACGGAAUUCCUUGUGUAGCGGUGAAAUGCGUAGAUAUAAGGAAGAACACCAGUGGCGAAGGCGGUCUACUGGACAGUAACUGACGCUGAGGCGCGAGAGCGUGGGGAGCAAACAGGAUUAGAUACCCUGGUAGUCCACGCUGUAAACGAUGAAUACUAGGUGUGGGGGGACUGACCCCUUCCGUGCCGCAGUUAACACAAUAAGUAUUCCACCUGGGGAGUACG